UCUAGAACUGCACGUUAUGUGCCCUCCAAGAAAAUAAGUGGUAACUAUUAACUAUUCAGAACUUCUCUCUUGAUUGGGGUAGAAAUUUUGACAACUAACCUUAGGCUUCAAAGCCUUCCUUCAAACCCCUGUACACCAUGGGGAGUACUGGGACAGUUUGGUGACUAAAAUGGAAUCCAAAUGUUUAGGUUUCAAAACAGGUAUCUAAAUGCAGUCAGUUAAUAAGUUACCAUCAUUAUUUAUUUGCAUUUCAUCUUGCCCUUGUCUUGGCUUAGGCUUCUCUUAAUUUCACUCAGAAUUCACAGCCUAGAAACGUCUCUUUGUAGGUUAUUCUCAAACUUGUUUUUGAAGGAAGAAUGGAAAUCUGCUUUUUAUUUAAAAGCCCUUCUCGACAAGGCUGCCUGUCCAGCAGGUGGGGGAAUUACAUCCUAAACCUGAAGAGAGACUGAACCAGAAAGAUGUGGGCUGUCUUGGAGAGUGGGCACUCUGCCUCUUUUGUUUGGAAGCUGCGCCAGCCUGCAGGGUGGAAAAAAAUGCAUUGUUCAGUAAACCCAAGUGUGAUCGUCAGAAGCCCAACCAUCAUUCAGGGCUACAGCAUACCAGAAACACAGACAGAAUCGAAAGCUCCACUUCUGACAUGGAAUUUCACCUGAUUGAUGGCACCCUGAUGGCUAACUUGAUGCUUUUCCGAGAGUAUGUUAUAUUCCUAAACUGCAAGAUCAAAAUGGAAAGAACAUUUUAAUUUCCACUAGCAAACACUGUCACUGAGGAGGAGGAACACUGAUCAGCCCAUAAAAGACUCACUUGAACUGCUGUAGCAUUAUGUACCACAGAUCCACACAUCACUGGUCAAACGAUACGGUAUGGUUUUGAUUAAGUAUGUUUCUAUGGAGCAUUCCGAUUGCUCCCUCUCACUGUGGUGAGAGAGAUCUUUCUGAAAGGUCUAACAAGUGCAAUGCUUGUCUGUAUUUUACGUAACUGACUAAAAACCCUAAUUACUGAGUUCUGAUAGGUGCUGUACCCUGGUCUUUUCAGAAAAAAAACACAUAAGCAAAUAUUUCCGUAUUUUGUGCCAAAUAAAGUAGCAGUUGAUUAGCUUCUGACA
rnacentral:lncRNA from 1 species